UUCGUAGGUGGCCUACUCAGUCAGACGUGAAAUCCCUCAGCUUAACUGGGGAACUGCGUCUGAUACUAGAUGGCUCGAGUGCAGGAGAGGAACGCGGAAUUCCAGGUGUAGCGGUGAAAUGCGUAGAUAUCUGGAGGAACACCGGUGGCGAAGGCGGCGUUCUGGACUGCAACUGACACUGAGGAACGAAAGCCAGGGGAGCAAACG
rnacentral:rRNA from 1 species